GCUUUUUGCAGUAUUCACUUCUGGAGCAAAACCAAAGAAGCCAGAUGUGAGGGGAAAAGAGAGAAAUGGGAGGAGAUGAGGGGAGGAGAGUAAGACACAACAGGGCAAGAAAACCAUUAAAAGUGGCCGGGUCAGCUAGGUCCACCAAGGCUUUGGCGUUGAGGAGGCCAAACCCAAAGCGGCUGUUGACCAUCAGCCCUGCUCCGUUCCUCUUCCAGCCGGGGUUAUUGGCCAAAGGAUCAAACUCUGAUGUCCAGACCACGAUGUGCUGCAGGUCUCUCCAGUGCCAGGGCAAAUAUUCCAGCAGCCAGUGGGGCAGAAGCUGAAGUUCCAGUGUGAGUCUGAGUGCACUCAUUAUGGAGAUCGGCACUGGUCUGAAAACCGAGCAGGCAACGAAUGACGUGAAAACGAAAAUCAUGCCACAAUCUAACCUUACAUGUGACACAAACAGA